rnacentral:SRP_RNA from 1 species
GCCGGGGAGAUAGCGGUGCCCUGUACCCGCAAUCCGCUACAGCGGGGGUGAUGGAGGUCCUGAGGGUGACUGUUUGUCGCGCAGCCCCGGGCAAGCAGUGUUGACGUUUGGGUCUUACGCGACCGGAGCCUGUGAACCGUGUCAGGGCAGGAAUGCAGCAGCACUAAACAGAUCCUUCGGGGUGUUGUAAGGUUGCCUGAAUUGAGCCGGCUACCCGGGUAACGGCGGUG